GGGUAAUGAUAUGCAUAAUACAGACCAAUCCAAUCCUAUAAAUUCACCCUACCACCUCCAGUUUAGUUCAACAUUUCUCUCCAAAAAAAAACCCAAAGAAUUGUAUAUCUCGUAGAAGACCAAAGAGUUGAAGAAUCAAAAUGUCAAGAGUAAGUUGUAUCAUCUUCCUGGCCUUCCUCCUCUCCACCACUCUUGUAUUUGCAGUUCGUCCUCUGCAGCAGUCCACUCAAUUGAAUCUUCAAGGUGUUGGUGCAGAGAUUGAGGAAGAAAGGUGUGGGGGUUUGGAUGAAGAUGAGUGCUUGAAAAGGAGGACAUUAAAUGCUCAUCUUGACUAUAUAUACACUCAGAAUGCCCAUCCAUGAAUGUGGUGGCUAUGAGUUUAUGCAAAAUAUGGUGUCAUGCUAAAUAAGAUUACUCAAUAUAAUGUAAGGUUUAUGGAUAGAUUAUGGGCUUUGGCGUUCUCAUCUCAUUUUUUGUUAUGGUUUUCCAUUAUGUAAUGAUAAAAUGAUUAUUAUAUAUAUCGUUUCUAAAAACU